GAUAAACGCUGGCGGCGUGCAUAACACAUGCAAGUCGAACGCUGAAGCCCAGCUUGCUGGGUGGAUGAGUGGCGAACGGGUGAGUAACACGUGAGUAACCUGCCCCCUUCUUUGGGAUAACGCCCGGAAACGGGUGCUAAUACUGGAUAUUCACUGGCUUUCGCAUGGGGGUUGGUGGAAAGGUUUUUUCUGGUGGGGGAUGGGCUCGCGGCCUAUCAGCUUGUUGGUGGGGUGAUGGCCUACCAAGGCUUUGACGGGUAGCCGGCCUGAGAGGGUGACCGGUCACAUUGGGACUGAGAUACGGCCCAGACUCCUACGGGAGGCAGCAGUGGGGAAUAUUGCACAAUGGGCGAAAGCCUGAUGCAGCGACGCCGCGUGAGGGAUGACGGCCUUCGGGUUGUAAACCUCUUUCGCUCAUGGUCAAGCCGCAGCUUUGGGUUGUGGUGAGGGUAGUGGGUAAAGAAGCGCCGGCUAACUACGUGCCAGCAGCCGCGGUAAUACGUAGGGCGCGAGCGUUGUCCGGAAUUAUUGGGCGUAAAGGGCUUGUAGGCGGUUGGUCGCGUCUGCCGUGAAAUCCUCUGGCUUAACUGGGGGGCGUGCGGUGGGUACGGGCUGACUUGAGUGCGGUAGGGGAGACUGGAACUCCUGGUGUAGCGGUGGAAUGCGCAGAUAUCAGGAAGAACACCGGUGGCGAAGGCGGGUCUCUGGGCCGUUACUGACGCUGAGGAGCGAAAGCGUGGGGAGCGAACAGG
rnacentral:rRNA from 1 species